CCAGGGGGCCGGGCAGCCGCGUCACGCAAGUGCCGAGGAAAGUCCGGGCUCCACGAAACAAGGGUGGCGGGUAAUGCCCGCCGGGCGAGUUGCUUGCAGCGAAGCCCAGGGAAAGUGCCACAGAGAGCAGACCGCCCCGGACUUGAUCCGGGGUAAGGGUGAAAGGGUGCGGUAAGAGCGCACCGGGGCCCUGGUAACAGGGCUCGCACGGCAAACCCCACCCGGAGCAAGACCGAAUAGGGGCGGCGCGUUCUACCGCAAGGCAGGACAGGUCAGUUUCGGACCCGACCGCCCGGGUUGGUUGCUGGAGCGGCGGAGCAAUCCGUCGCCGAGAGGAAUGGCUGCCAGUGCGGAUACGGUCUCUUGUGGGAUACCGUCCGCGCUACAGAACCCGGCUUACAGGCCCCCUGGCGAG
rnacentral:RNase_P_RNA from 1 species